GGUCAAGAAGAUGGCGGCCACCUGACUCACUUCCGCAGGCUGCCUGCACCCGAGGCUGGACUGGCCCGUAGCUCUUCCAAAGGCUCCCGCUGCCGCUGCCCCGGGGCCUCCAGACCCCAGCAGCCUUCGAGGGGCCCCUCUGCAUCGGCUGCUGCAGGGGUUUCUGCCUGAGCUGCUCCUGUGGCCACCGGGCAGCUUUCCAACCACGCGGGAGCCCUCUCGCAAACUGGGGACCGAAUGAAAACAAUAAAGCUUUUUGCAGCAAAAUAAUUUCAGGAGUAAAGAACUGGCUUUCCCUGGAUCACUGAAAAUUCUAAACUGUGCCCUCAUCUCCAACCCCCAGGACCAAAGUUUUGGAACUACAAAAGCUGCUCUCUCAAGUGAGUUAUUCAUCUGGAGGACUCUCAGACUGCCAUCAGAAACAACACAGAAAGAAGACAGUUCAGGCCCGCCACAGGAAGAGUUCAGCAACAAAAACCCUUUCACCUUCCAUCACACUAGCAGAUCUAAACCUGAAUAACAACGAAGAUGCUUUAGGUGGGAUGCCACACGGAACACCAGGAAACAUUUCCAGCCUGUGCAACAUUUUACUUCUCUCAUAACACAGAACAAAAAAAAAAAAAAAAAAAAAAGGGAAAUCUUUUUCCUAAUAAUGUGUAUUUGCUUAUAUUUUGUUGAACGUGUCGACUAAGCUAGCAUAUGCUUUGUUAAAUGAAUUUUAAUAUGGAACACCUUUGUCAGGCCCCCUGUGUUUUCUUCUCUGUCAUCAGUUUAGUAAUCUACCCUUGUUCCCAGUCAUCUCCAUCAACAGCCCUUCUAGCUCCGGAGCCUCACAGCAAGCCCUGAGUUGCUCUGCCUUGCCCCGACCUCUUAGACCAAAUCCUUCUGCUAAAGUGAAGUAUGGAGUUAGCUCUGUGCCCAGAUCAGUGGCUGGUACAUGAAGGCAUAUACAGUACAUGCUUGUGGAUAUAGAAAGAGAGCCAGUUAAUCUAGAAGUAAUUUUUGAAAGAAACAAGAGAUCCUUUGAAUUCCCGGUAAAAAAAAAAAAA